AACGAACGCUGGCGGCAUGCCUAACACAUGCAAGUCGAACGAGACCUUCGGGUCUAGUGGCGCACGGGUGCGUAACGCGUGGGAACCUGCCCUUAGGUUCGGAAUAACUCCCCGAAAGGGGUGCUAAUACCGGAUAAUGUCUUCGGACCAAAGAUUUAUCGCCUUUGGAUGGGCCCGCGUUGGAUUAGCUAGUUGGUAGGGUAAAAGCCUACCAAGGCGACGAUCCAUAGCUGGUCUGAGAGGAUGAUCAGCCACACUGGGACUGAGACACGGCCCAGACUCCUACGGGAGGCAGCAGUGGGGAAUAUUGGACAAUGGGCGAAAGCAUGAUCCAGCAAUGCCGCGUGAGUGAUGAAGGCCUUAGGGUUGUAAAGCUCUUUUACCCGGGAUGAUAAUGACAGUACCGGGAGAAUAAGCUCCGGCUAACUACGUG
rnacentral:rRNA from 1 species